rnacentral:rRNA from 1 species
UACGGGGGGGGCAAGCGUUGUUCGGAAUUACUGGGCGUAAAGGGCUCGUAGGCGGCCAACUAAGUCAGACGUGAAAUCCCUCGGCUUAACCGGGGAACUGCGUCUGAUACUGGAUGGCUGGAGAUUGGGAGAGGGAUGCGGAAUUCCAGGUGUAGCGGUGAAAUGCGUAGAUAUCUGGAGGAACACCGGUGGGACGAGGCGCAUCCUGGACCAACACUGACGCUGAGGAGCGAAAGCCGGGGGAGCAAACGGG